rnacentral:lncRNA from 10 species
GGCUUGUUCAAUCCUAUUAGAGAUUUUCAGGUUAAAGAUUACUAACAAUGCCCCCGAUGACACUAGUGAACAGGUAUUUGCUACACUUCUGUUUCUACCCCUUGGACCUGCUUGAAACCUCUCGUUUGCAUCUGUUUAAGAGCUUCAUAUUUUUUCAAAAGUCCUUAUCUGGCUUAAAAGUCCACAACUUGUCAUAGCACUGAGCAAUCCAGAAGAAGUUACAAAUGUUUGCUGUGUUGGAGCCAUGAAAAGCCUGAUUGUUUUACCUAUGAACACUCUCAACUCAGGAUAUGGCAACAUGCUAGAAACGAUAUGAUAGGCAAAAACAUCCAAUCAAAGUUUCCACUCGUAAACUUCAGUGGACCACAGAAUGAUAUGAAAUGAACACCCAUAAGGAAGGAUCAAUUAACAGAGCAGAAGGCCAGAAACAAGGUAUGAAUCUUGGAUAUGGAAGAUAGCACGAGAAAUGGAAAGACUCAUUAUUGGAUUUUGAAAUUCUGAAACAAUGCUUUUGCAUUAAAGGAAACCUGCAGGUAAAGCAAUCAGAGUGUAUAAAGAAGGGAUUUUAAAAGUAUCUAUAUUUGCAUCACAAAUAUAGAUAAUGGUUACUCAACUUUUCUUCCAGUCUUUCUUCUAUUCAUCUGAGAGUGUUAGGUCUAGAGUUGAAGGAGGGCUAUGGCCCUUGGCUCACCACAUGGUGAAUAGCAGACCAUGGUAUUAAUCAUAAGUAUGGGGAAUGCAGACAAAUAAUGUUGUUUCUCACCUCUGCUGUGGCUUGCAUGAAUUUAACUCAUGCUCGAUGGAGACUAAAAUGCCUUAAAGCCUACGGAUGCCAGUCUUCUGAAAAGUGGAUGUUACGUGUUGAAUUGCGACCCCCCCCCCCGCCAAAAAAAAGAUAUGUUGAAAUCCUAACCCCUGGUACCUCAAAAUGUAAUCUUAUUUGGAAAUAGGGCCUUUCAUCAAGGUAAGAUGAAGUCAUUAGGGUGGGAUCUGUUUUAAUUUAACUGGUGACCUUAUAAAAAGGGGAAAUCUGGACAGACACAUAAAACAAUGGAAGGUGACGUGAAGAUGGCUGUGUGAUGAUGGAAGCAUGAAUUGAACUGAUGUAGCUGCAACCCAAGGAAACCCAAGGCUACCAGCUAGCACCAGAACUAGGAAGAAUCGAGAAAGGACGCAGCCUAGAGCCUCAGUGAAGCUUGCCCCCGCUGACACCUUGAUUUACAACUUCUGGUCUUCCG